GAAAUAGCAGCAAUUAUUUUUGAAAAACAAGCAAACAUCUUCAUCAUAACUCAAGCUCUAAAAGCCCUCCAUAAUAUUACACCUCACGCUCUUCCAAACCCUGGUGAAUUGUGUAUGGCAAAAUCCAUGUCAGAUUUGAAAGCAGUGUAUUCAGCAUGAACUGGAAUGCGAAGAAUAUUUUCACAAGUAUUUGCCUGUGGAAAUCAGGAAUGAGUAAUGAACUCAAGGCUUGGCUUUGGAGAGAAGCCCAGUGCUGGAACACUGUCACAUCCAGUGAGGAAAACAAGAAUAUCCUCCAGAGAGACAUUGUUUUUAACUGAAAGAUAUAAAAAAGAAUAACACAAUUAAAUGAUGACUACAUCUACCAGCAUUUUCAUGAAGUCAUUAAGUAGUAUACCACUGAAGUGAUGCAAAGUGAUGUAAGAGAGGUUUGGAAUGUUUUAGAGCAGCUACCGUACCUCAAACUGACUACAUUUCUGGACUACAUUUCUGGAACUACAAUUCUGGACUACAUUACCUCAAACUUGACAACAUUUCUGGAUCACAGUGAAUAUUCUGAUGACAGUCAGCAGCAACUGCAGCAUAGUGCGGCAGGAGCUGGAGGACCCGGAGUGUGAGACAAUACAGGAGCAAGCAGGAGAACCAACAGCUGAAGAGCUGAAGAUUUACAAUUUACUGAUGCUUGUUUUAGCUUCUUGGUUCCCUACCUACCUCUGUAUUUAAUUCAAU